rnacentral:lncRNA from 1 species
AUGUGGCUGGAAGAGGCUUGGGAAAAAAAGCCCAAAAAAGCCCCCAAAAGCCUCAAAAAGGUCCCCAAAAAGACCCAAAAACGUCCCCCAAAAAAGCCCCCAAAAAAGUCCCAAAAAAGCCUCCCAAAAGUCAGCAAAAAGUCCCCAAAAAAACCCCAAAAAACCCCCAAAAAGUCCCCAAAAGCCCCAAAAAGCCCAAAAAAGUUCCCAAAUCCCCAAAAGCCCCCAAAAAGCCCCAAAAAAGUCAGCAAAAAGCCCCCAAAAAAGUCAGCAAAAGCCCCAAAAAAGUUCCCAAAUCCCCAAAAGCCCCAAAAAAGCCCCAAAAAGCCUCCCAAAAAGCCCCAAAAAAGUCAGCAAAAAGCCCCCCAAAAAAGCCCCCAAAAAGCCCCAAAAAAGUCCCCAAAAGCCCCAAAAAGCCGAAAAAAAGUUCCCAAACCCCCAAAAAGCCCCCAAAAAAGCCCCAAAAAAGCCCCCAAAAGCCCCAAAAAAGUUCCCAAAUCCCCAAAAGCCGCAAAAAAGCCCCAAAAAAGUCCCCAAAAAGCCCCCCAAAAAGCCCCAAAAAAGUCACCAAAAAGCCCCCCAAAAGCCCCAAAAACAGCCCCCAAAAAGCCCCAAAAGUCCCCCAAAAAGCCCCGAAAAAGCCCCACAAAAAGCCCUCCAAAAAAACCCCAAAAAGCCCCCCAAAAAGCCCCAAAAAAGUCAGCAAAAAGCCCCAAAAAGCCCAAAAAAGUUCCCAAAUCCCCAAAAGCCCCAAAAAAGCCCCAAAAAAGUCCUCAAAAAGCCCCCCAAAAAGCCCCAAAAAAAGCCCAAAAAAACCCCAAAAAAGCCCCAGAAAAGCCCCCAAAAAAGCCCCAAAAAGCCAAAAAAAAGUUCCCAAACUCCCAAAAGCCCCAAAAAAAGCCCCAAAAGUCCCAAAAAAGCACCCCAAAAAGCCCCAAAAAAGUCAGAAAAAAGCCCCCAAAAAAGCCCCAAAAAGCCCCAGAAAAGCCCCAAAAAAAGCCCCAAAAAGCCAAAAAAAUGUUCCCAAACCCCCAAAAGCCCCCAAAAAAAGCCCCAAAAAAAAAAGCCCCAAAAAGCCAAAAAAAUGUUCCCAAACCCCCAAAAGCCCCCAAAAAAAGCCCCAAAAAAGUCCCCAAAAAGCCCCCCAAAAAGCCCCAAAAAAGUCAGCAAAAAGCCCCAAAAAAAGCCCAAAAAAGCCCCAAAAAAGCCCAAAAAAGCCCCCCAAAAAUCCCCAAAAGCCCCCAGAAAUCGGGAGCAGCGGGGACGGCAGCAGGCGGUGGCUGCUGA